UGCAUUUCUUCCUUUAUUUCAAAUUCUAUUUUUAUUUUUCUAACUCCUAUUGUUAUUUAUUUUUCUGCUAUAUUUUUAGUGUUUAUUAAGCUUCUUGGUAUAUCUGGGCAUAUAUUAUUGUCAGAUUUUAUUUCCUUAUUUUUUACUAGAUAUCUUGCUAUAUAAUUUUCUUCUUGUCCUGUAUUUAAGAGUAUUAAAUAUUCUUUUUCAUUUAUUGUUCCUGUUAUGUAAUAUUGGUUUAAAUUAGUUGUUGAACUUGUUUCAUAACUUGUUCUU
rnacentral:lncRNA from 1 species